rnacentral:piRNA from 1 species
AUAAAGACACGUCUAUCUAGCCC